CAACUGGUAAACAACCGGGGAGGUUUUCCGUUUUUAGACGUUUUACGGCGUUUUGAAUUUUGAAAGUAAAAAUGAAAAUUUUGUGAUUGAAACUGCUUCUCAGAGAGUCAUGUCAUCAGAGGUCAAGCCUGUAGAAAGUAACGGUGUUCAGCCUGAAAAGAAAGCGCUGAAACGAAAGGCCGAAGACGAUCUUUACGACAUAGAUCCGCUUUCUGAAGACGACGAGCCGGUUCAAAGAGACAGGAAGGAUAGAGUUGUCACCCAUCGACUCUGUCCAUACCUUGACACCAUCAACCGUCAAGUUUUGGAUUUUGAUUUUGAGAAACUCUGCUCUGUUUCUCUGUCGAGGAUAAACGUAUAUGCCUGCCUUGUGUGUGGAAAAUAUUUCCAAGGCCGAGGAACUAAUACUCAUGCAUAUACGCAUAGUGUGGCAGAAACACAUCAUGUCUUUUUAAACUUGCACACACUAAAAUUUUAUUGUUUACCAGAUAAUUAUGAAAUAGUUGAUUCUUCCCUUGAUGACAUAAAAUAUGUGCUUAAUCCUACCUUCACAUCGGAUCACAUAAAGGGGCUUGAUUCGAGUGACAAACUCUCACGAGCAAUAGAUGGUACUCUGUAUUUACCUGGAAUCGUCGGUUUAAACAACAUUAAAGCAAAUGAUUAUUGCAAUGUUAUUCUUCAAGCUCUUUGUCAUGUCACACCUCUAAGGGAUUUUUUCUUAAGAGAAAUUAACUAUGCUCGUGUUAAGAGACCACCAGGUGAUAGUUCAUUUCUACUUGUCCAACGUUUUGGUGAGCUAAUGAGGAAACUGUGGAAUCCAAGAAACUUCAAAGCUCAUGUCUCACCGCAUGAAAUGUUACAAGCAGUUGUUUUAUGGAGUAGAAAAAAAUUUCAAUUCAUCAAACAGGGUGAUCCAAUUAAUUUCCUUUCCUGGUUUUUAAAUGCACUACACACGGCCUUAAAUGGCACAAAAAGUCCAGAUUCGUCUAUCCUGUACAAAACAUUCUUAGGUGCAAUGAGAAUACGGACGAGGAAAAUACCGCCUGUUGAAUUGGAUGAGAAACAAAGGCUGGAGCUAUUACUUUUGGAUGAAUACAAGGAAACAACAACUGAGUCACCCUUUCUUUAUUUAGCCUGUGAUCUACCGCCUCCACCUCUUUUCAAAGAUGAAAUUAUGGAAAACAUUAUUCCACAAGUCAACUUAUUCAAUUUGUUAACUAAAUUUAAUGGUGAAACAGAAAAGGAGUACAAAACCUACAAGGAGAAUUUUAUGAAGCGGUUUGAAAUUACAAAACUGCCACCGUAUUUGAUUUUAUAUAUCAAGAGGUUUACAAAAAACACAUUUUUUGUCGAAAAGAAUCCUACGAUUGUUAAUUUUCCAAUCAAAGGAAUUGAUUUCGGCGAGUUCCUUUCACCACAAAUUAGAGCAUUGCACAAAACGACUGUGUAUGAUUUAGUUGCAAAUAUAGUGCAUGAUGGUGAACCUGACAAAGGAACUUACAGAGUUCACCUUUUACAUAAAGGCAAUGGGAAAUGGUAUGAGAUGCAAGAUCUACACGUCAGUGAUAUCCUUCCCCAGAUGAUAACACUUACAGAAGCAUACAUUCAGAUUUAUGAACUCAAGUCAGAUGAUAAGACAUAGGAAACAAAUUUUAUCCUUGUUUGUAAAUAAAAUUUUUACAUUUAUAAGUUGUGUGUACAACUCAGAGAAGGAAAAAAUGAUCCUUGUUGAAAAUUAAAUUAAAAGUAAUUAAAAGUAAAUAUGGAUUAUUUAUUUUGGAAUUAGACUAUUCAUGGCAAGUUGUGUUUACAGUCAGGGGACAGACAGUCUUGCCCAUCCUGCAAGCUGGAGUUGGUCUACUUUCGAGUAUUCUCAAAAAACUUCAGAAAUGAGUUUUGCCUUGCCAAAUGGAAUUUUUGGUAAGAGUGAAAUAAUAAACUAAAUUUUCACAACUUUAUUUAUCUAUUUUGCUUUAAAAAAUAAAAGAGCAUUUGUAGAAAAUCUAGAAUAAAAUUAACAAUUAGGUGAAUAAUGGAAUUAUAAAAUGAAUAUAUAGACAAAAAAGUCUCCUUUCCACGUCAAGCCCAGAACAAGAGAGCAUAUUUCCCCAUUCCUAAUAUGUACAGUGAUUUUUCUAGGGGGUUAAUCCUUGAGAAUCGUUCUUGAAAAAGCUCUACCAUGUAAGAGUUAAAUUGGUUCUGUUAGACUUUCAAGGUAGAAGGUCGUUUUCUUAUAUUUGUCAAAAGUGUAAGCAACUGGGAUGGCUAUUGCUAGACUAAUGACAAAUCAAACUCUGGUACUAUUCUAGCAUUAAUAUUUCUCUCUCUCCCAAGCAACCCAGCAACAAAGGAAACCCAGUUUUGGAGGUGAACAGUACUUCUGUAACAGGUCUUAUGGAGAUUCAUGAGAUAGUCCAAUGUCCAUCAUAUAUAGGAAGUAGGAGUUGGGUUGAACAUAUCCCUCCCUUCAUGAACUCUUUUUCCAUCCCUGUUAAAUACAUUGUGGAUUUACAAUUUUUUCGAUACUCAAAUCUGUGACUUAGCUUAAGUGAUUAAGUUUCCUUAUGACACUAUAAUCUUUGAAUUCUGAUUCCAGCGUGUAUACCUCAAUUUACCACCUGAAUAUAUUAAAUGUAAUUAAAUUAUUAAAUAUAUGAGAUAAUUGAUAGUC
rnacentral:misc_RNA from 1 species